ensembl:lncRNA
GGGAUUUUGGUAACUACAUAUUUGUACUACUGUAUUUUUAAAAAUGAAAGAAUUGUUAACCUUGUUCAAUUCAUUUGCCUUCUACUCACAGUGAGCAUGGCCAGAUAUUAAGAGGAAAUGGAUCUCAUUUUUGGACAAGAUAUACACACAAGAGCCAUUGCACAAAGCCAAAGAAAAGCCAAUCCAGGAUUGAUUGAUGCACUUCUAGGACAAUACAAAGGUCUUGAAUGUAGUGUGAAGACUCGAGGUUACUGUGUUUAACAUGUUGUUAUGACAUAGGCUUUCCUUGUGUCCACACUCACUCUGAAGAUACAGACGAGUAUCUCCGAAACCUUUGCUCUGAUAAUCUGGUCCCCUUUUCUGCCUCUCAUAGUGUGGUACCUUUCUGUAGUCCUGGCUACUGACUGGGUAAAUGCAUCAUUGCUUAGAUCAUUUUGAUUGGGCCCUGAUUGAGCCCUGAUUGAAGGACCUGUUAUAGAUUUAUUUUUCUUUUCACUUGGAAUUUUAACACAUAAGACUUUGAUAGUCUAUAUUUUCAUCCAGAAAUUUUUCUUCUUUUGGAUUUUUCUGAUGUUUUGUUAAUUUCUCUUACGAAUUGAUUCAUAAACCUCAUACCUCAGCCAUGCAUCCCUAAGUGAUAAUAUAAUUGUCAAUCACCCUCUUAAUGGGGGAAUGUAAAAAAUAUCAUUAUUAAAUUGCAAAGCUUAAAUUACUUUUGAGAAGAAUUUUAGGUAAAGAAGAUGCUACCUCUCUGAAUGCAGAACUGAACUGUUGGAGAAGAUAUCAUGAAGAAGCCUCCAAACCAGACAGCUCCACAAAAAUUGAACUUUGGGUGUGGUUGAUUGAACAUUUAUUUGUAUGUAUAUAUGUAUACUUUCAUGCCAAAGGGGAUUGCCCCCUAACUGGCUUUUUGUCAAUGCAUUCAGCAAUUAUUGGUUUUGUUUUUCUUUCUCUUAUCCUCAAAUUAUUGUAAUCUUUAAAUUGAUUAUGUUUUCAUGAUCCUUUGGGAAAAAAUUAAUUUUUUUUCAAAUGCUCAAAUGGGGGAUGUAAAAAAUAGACUCUAAUUCUGGACUUCAAACCCCACAAGCCUUUGCUCCACUUCCCCAGAAUGUUUUGUAAUCUCACGGAAUUCUGACAUGGGCCAAGAUCGAGAAGGUAUUUAACCUGAUUGCAAAGGUUUUUGAGCUUUUUUUGGACUUCUGUUUUGGAGCAGAGGUGUCUCUUCCAUGAUGUGAGGUUAUCUUGUCUAGGCCUCUGGCCUAGGCAGGUGUUUUUUCUUACUUGUAUAUUCUUUAAUCUUUAACCUUUAAUAAACCUCUAAAAAUAUAAUACUCCUUGCA